CACGUGGGAACGUGCCUUUAGGUUCGGAAUAACUCAGGGAAACUUGUGCUAAUACCGAAUGUGCCCUUCGGGGGAAAGAUUUAUCGCCUUUAGAGCGGCCCGCGUCUGAUUAGCUAGUUGGUGGGGUAAUGGCCCACCAAGGCUACGAUCAGUAGCUGGUCUGAGAGGAUGACCAGCCACAUUAGGACUGAGACACGGCCCAAACUCCUACGGGAGGCAGCAGUGGGGAAUCUUGCGCAAUGGGCGAAAGCCUGACGCAGCCAUGCCGCGUGGAUGAUGAAGGUCUUAGGAUUGUAAAAUCCUUUCACCGGUGAAGAUAAUGACUGUAGCCGGAGAAGAAGCCCCGGCUAACUUCGUGCCAGCAGCCGCGGUAAUACGAAGGGGGCUAGCGUUGCUCGGAAUUACUGGGCGUAAAGGGAGCGUAGGCGGACUGUUUAGUCAGAGGUGAAAGCCCAGGGCUCAACCUUGGAAUUGCCUUUGAUACUGGCAGUCUUGAGUACGGAAGAGGUAUGUGGAACUCCGAGUGUAGAGGUGAAAUUCGUAGAUAUUCGGAAGAACACCAGUGGCGAAGGCGACAUACUGGUCCGUUACUGACGCUGAGGCUCGAAAGCGUGGGGAGCAAACAGGAUUAGAUACCCUGGUAGUCCACGCUGUAAACGAUGAGUGCUAGUUGUCGGCAGGCAUGCCUGUCGGUGACGCAGCUAACGCAUUAAG
rnacentral:rRNA from 1 species